UUGUUUAUAAAAAUUUUUAUAAAUACAACCUGCUCAAUGAAAAAUUUUUAAUAGCUGCAAUUUUUGUACUAAGGUAGCAUAAUCAUUUGUUUUUUAAUUUUAAACUAGAAUGAAAGGUAAAACAAAUCAUUUCUUUAUUUUUUAUUUUAUUUUAACUUAUAUUAAAUAUAAAAAUAUAUUUUUUUAAAAAAAAGACGACAAGACCCUAUUGAACUUUACUUUAGUUUAGCUGGGGAAGCUAAAUAAUAAAUAUUUUAUUCUAAAUUUAAUAAAUGACCCAAAAUAUUUGAUUAAUUAAUCAAGUUACCAUAGGGAUAACAGCGCAAUAAAUUUUUAAAGUUCUUAUCUAAAAAUUUGCUUACGACCUCGAUGUUGAAUUAGAAAUCUUUAUUAAGCAAAAAUAAUAAAAGUAGGUCUGUUCGACCUUUAAAAUUCUACA
rnacentral:rRNA from 1 species